AGGACGAACGCUGGCGGCGUGCUUAACACAUGCAAGUCGAGCGGAAAGGCCCUUCGGGGUACUCGAGCGGCGAACGGGUGAGUAACACGUGGGCAACCUGCCCUUAGCUCUGGGAUAGCUCCGGGAAACCGGAAUUAAUACCGGAUAUGACCUAGGCCGACAUCGGCCGUGGUGGAAAGUUUUUCGGCUAGGGAUGGACUCGCGGCCUAUCAGCUAGUUGGUGGGGUAAUGGCCUACCAAGGCGACGACGGGUAGCCGGCCUGAGAGGGCGACCGGCCACACUGGGACUGAGACACGGCCCAGACUCCUACGGGAGGCAGCAGUGGGGAAUCUUGCGCAAUGGGCGAAAGCCUGACGCAGCGACGCCGCGUGGGGGAUGAAGGCCUUCGGGUUGUAAACCCCGUUUCAGCAGGGACGAAGCGAAAGUGACGGUACCGUGCAGAAGAAGCGCCGGCUAACUACGUGCCAGCAGCCGC
rnacentral:rRNA from 1 species